AGCGAACGCUGGCGACAGGCUUAACACAUGCAAGUCGAGCGCCCCGCAAGGGGAGCGGCAGACGGGAGAGUAACACGUGGGAACGUGCCCUUUGGUUCGGGACAACCCAGGGAAACUUGGGCUAAUACCGGAUAAGUCCGUAAGGAGAAAGAUUUAUCGCCAAAGGAGCGGCCCGCGUCUGAUUAGCUUGUUGGUGAGGUAACGGCUCACCAAGGCGACGAUCAGUAGCUGGUCUGAGAGGAUGAUCAGCCUCACUGGGACUGAGACACGGCCCAGACUCCUACGGGAGGCAGCAGUGGGGAAUAUUGGACAAUGGGCGCAAGCCUGAUCCAGCCAUGCCGCGUGGGUGAGGAAGGCCCUAGGGUUGUAAAGCCCUUUCGGCGGGGAAGAUAAUGACGGUACCCGCAGAAGAAGCCCCGGCUAACUUCGUGCCAGCAGCCGCCGUAAGAC
rnacentral:rRNA from 1 species